rnacentral:lncRNA from 1 species
AUGUCGGAAGUGGCCACCCCCCUCCCUCCUCGACAGACUGAGCCGAUUUUACCCCUUGGCGUUUCCUCUCCCACGCCAAGUCAGCUUGUUCAGGCAACUGUAAGCUUGGCUUCUGCCCCUGUGAGCCCCAUGUCUACUGGGCGGGCUUCUCCGGCUCAGUCGGUGUCUCCUCUGCCUUCCCGCCCUGCCUCGCCCCCGAGAAAGAGGUCUGGGAAGAAAAAACACUGUUCCCGAGAUCGACAUCGAUCACCCCGCAGGGACAGUAAUGGGAGACACCGACGUUCUCGACGUCGCUAUAGAUUGAUCUCGGACGAUUCUUCUACCUCGGGGUCGAGGCAUAGGCGACACAAGCGCCGCUGUAGACGUCGUUCAUCUACUUCGUCAGCUUCGACGUCGUCUGACCGCCGUCGACAUCGUUGGAGGGUCAAAUAUGUAUAUCUCUCCUUGUCUUCUGCGUCGACCCCUCCGAAGAAGCAUCAACGUCGCCAUCGGAAGGAGGUUGAAAAGAACCCCCAAUCGGUCCCGCCUGUGACUCAACCGAUUGUGGCACCUCCCGUCGCUUCUUCAACAUUGACCGCGCUCCUUCCACCUCAGCGCGCUAUUACUCCAGCCCUCGACGUCCAAGCUCCACAUCGAAAGAGGGGCCAUGAAUUGUCAUCCGAAGAUGAGGUCCCAUUUUCCUCACAAGCGUCUGAUUCAGAAGCAGAGCCACCUCCACAGCCUGAGCCUCAGGAGUUACCGGUGGGAGAGACAGUGGAGUCCGAUACGGGCGAUCCACAUGACUCUUCGCCCUCAGAGGAUUUUUCGUCCUAUUCCCAAAUGCUCUCCCGCCUUGCGAAGACUCUUAAGCUCCAUGUCGAUGAACCAGCCCCUCCAGAAGAGGAUCUCAUUUUCGGUGACAUCAAUAAGGAGCGGUCUCCGCCUCCGAGUCUCUCUUUUUUGCCAGCCUUAUUGGACAUUAUUAAAGAACUCUGGGACCAUCCCUCGGCUUCGGUGCCUCUACCCCGGUGCACUGAGAACAUGUAUAGGAUCAACGGGGAGGAUGCUAAAUUUUUACUGAAGCAUCCUAUUCCUAACUCUCUCAUAGUCGAGACAAGCUGUACAAAGCCAACAGGGAAGGCUCAUGUUAUCCCAACGAACAAAGAAGGCAAGAAGUUGGAAAUGAUGGGCAGGAGGCUUUAUUCUCUCAUCUCCUUCAUGCUCCACAUGGCUAAUUAUCAGACUGCAUUAGGAGCCUAUCAAAAACAGCUAUGGUUAAAAGUUUUGCCAGGUUUGAAGAUGUUACCAGAGGAUACCCGUCAGGCCUUUGUUAAUAUCUAUGAAGAAGCCCAGACCAUUUCGAAGCAUCAGAGGAUUGCUACUAGGCACUCAGUGGAGGCUGCAGCUAGAAUGUUGGUCACGGCUGUCACUCACAUGCGUGGUUAUGUGCGGCGAAUAUCCUUGACUAUGUGA